GACGAACGCUGGCGGCGUGCUUAACACAUGCAAGUCGAACGGAAAGGCCCUGCUUGCAGGGUACUCGAGUGGCGAACGGGUGAGUAACACGUGGGUGAUCUGCCCUGCACUUCGGGAUAAGCCUGGGAAACUGGGUCUAAUACCGGAUAGGAGCCAUUUUUAGUGUGAUGGUUGGAAAGUUUUUUCGGUGUAGGAUGAGCUCGCGGCCUAUCAGCUUGUUGGUGGGGUAAUGGCCUACCGAGGCGGCGACGGGUAGCCGGCCUGAGAGGGUGGACGGCCACAUUGGGACUGAGAUACGGCCCAGACUCCUACGGGAGGCAGCAGUGGGGAAUAUUGCACAAUGGGCGCAAGCCUGAUGCAGCGACGCCGCGUGGGGGAUGACGGCCUUCGGGUUGUAAACUCCUUUCGCUAGGGACGAAGCUUUUUGUGACGGUACCUAGAUAAGAAGCACCGGCUAACUACGUG
rnacentral:rRNA from 1 species